rnacentral:rRNA from 1 species
AUUGAACGCUGGCGGCAGGCCUAACACAUGCAAGUCGAACGAGUGGCGGACGGGUGAGUAAUGUCUGGGAAACUGACCGAUGGAGGGGGAUAACUACUGGAAACGGUAGCUAAUACCGCAUACCAUCGGAUUUGCCCAGAUGGGAUUAGCCAGUAGGUGGGGUAACGGCUCACAUAGGCGACGAUCCCUAGCUGGUCCGGGAGGAUGACCAGCCACACUGGAACUGAGAAACGGUCCAAACGCCUACGGGAGGCAGCAGUGGGGAAUAUUGCACGAUGGGGUCAAGACUGAUGCAGCCAUGCCGCAAGUAUGAAGAAGGUCUUCGGGUUGUAGAAUACUUGCAGCGAGAAUGCGUUACUCGCAGAAGAAGCACCGGCUAACUCCGUGCCAGCAGCCGCGGUAAUAC